rnacentral:ncRNA from 1 species
GCAUUGACAGGAAAGGCCGGGAUUUUCUACGGUUCGUCCACUGUAAACAUAUGGAAGCCGGUGUAAAUCCGGUGCGGUCGCGCCACUGUAAUCAGCCUGAGAGGGCUGAAAGUCAGACCCUGUUUUUGCAGACUCUA